GAUGAACGCUGGCGGCGUGCCUAACACAUGCAAGUCGUACGGAAAGGCCCUUCGGGGUACUCGAGUGGCGGACGGCUGAGUAACGCGUGGGAACGUGCCCUAAAGUGAGGAAUAACUGCCCGAAAGGGUAGCUAAUGCCGCAUAUGGUCUUCGGAUUAAAGGAUUUAUCCGCUUUGGGAGCGGCCCGCGUCGGAUUAGGUAGUUGGUGAGGUAAAGGCUCACCAAGCCGACGAUCCGUAGCUGGUCUGAGAGGAUGAUCAGCCAGACUGGGACUGAGACACGGCCCAG
rnacentral:rRNA from 1 species